CCCUGCUCAAUUUUCUACAGAUAUCUAUUAACUCUAAUUUUUCUAACAUUUCAUUCACUUUCUUUACUUAUUUCUUAUUUAUUUUUUGGUUCAAGCUAUCUAACUCUGAAAGGGGAAGGUUGAGGAUCCCCACUAGUAUGGUCUUACUAUCUAUUUAUUCCUUAAGCUCCUUUAAUCUCUCCUUUAUAAAUCUAGAUGCACUUCUGGGCUAAGAUGGCUGCAGAACAGAAGGAAAUUUAUGACUCUCCCAACUACCAAUCAAAACAAAGCAUCUCAAAAGGACAAAAAUAAAAAUCAGACAAGGGAAUGGACUCUACCAAGAGGAGCAGCCUUGAAGAUGAGAAAACUGAGGUUCAUAUAAGUUAAAAGACUCAAUGAAGGCUUCAACAGGUAGCACAUAGUGCUAUGAAGAUUUGAAUGUAGAUCCUCUGACUUGAGAUGAACUUUUCCAUGACAUUACUAUGGUUAUUCAGCAGCCUAUAUUUUUAAUAGUUAGAUUAAAAUGAAAUUUAGAGAUAUUAAUU
rnacentral:lncRNA from 1 species